rnacentral:rRNA from 1 species
GAUGAACGCUAGCUACAGGCUUAACACAUGCAAGUCGAGGGGAAACGACAUCGAAAGCUUGCUUUUGAUGGGCGUCGACCGGCGCACGGGUGAGUAACGCGUAUCCAACCUGCCCACCACUUGGGGAUAACCUUGCGAAGGUAAGACUAAUACCCAAUGACGUCUCUAGAAGACAUCUGAAAGAGAUUAAAGAUUUAUCGGUGAUGGAUGGGGAUGCGUCUGAUUAGCUUGUUGGCGGGGUAACGGCCCACCAAGGCGACGAUCAGUAGGGGUUCUGAGAGGAAGGUCCCCCACAUUGGAACUGAGACACGGUCCAAACUCCUACGGGAGGCAGCAGUGAGGAAUAUUGGUCAAUGGACGAGAGUCUGAACCAGCCAAGUAGCGUGCAGGAUGACGGCCCUAUGGGUUGUAAACUGCUUUUAUAAGGGAAUAAAGUGAGUCUAGUGAGACUUUUUGCAUGUACCUUAUGAAUAAGGACCGGCUAAUUCCGUG